rnacentral:lncRNA from 1 species
AAACAAAUGACCAUUCAAAUCAACACAAUGAAACCAACAUAAAAAAAUAAAAAAAAACAAGUCGAUCACACUUUAAAAGAGAGAUGAAACACAUCAGUUGAAAACCAACUCACAAUGCAAUUUCCAAAGACGAAAAUGACAGUACAUAAAAUACAACAUAUUAGAAACCUAAAGACCAGGUAAUACAAACCCCACUUAAUUUAAAACAAAGAGUGCACACGC